GAUGAAGAACGCAGCGAAAUGGGAUAAGUAAUGUGAAUUGCAGAAUUCAGUGAAUCAUCGAAUCUUUGAACGCACAUUGCGCCCCUUGGUAUUCCGAGGGGCAUGCCUGUUCGAGCGUCAUUACACCACUCAAGCUAUGCUUGGUAUUGGGCGUCGUCCUUAGUUGGGCGCGCCUUAAAGACCUCGGCGAGGCCACUCCGGCUUUAGGCGUAGUAGAAUUUAUUCGAACGUCUGUCAAAGGAGAGGAACUCUGCCGACUGAAACCUUUAUUUUUCUAGGUUGACCUCGGAUCAGGUAGGGAUACCCGCUGAACUUAAGCAUAUCAAUAAGCGGAGGA
rnacentral:misc_RNA from 1 species